rnacentral:lncRNA from 1 species
UAAACUUAUAAAAGUCAACAAUACAUAGAUACAUAUUGAUUAAAAAAAAAUACAUAUUGAUGUCGUGUCACUCAAUAAUACUACUUUUUUUCUUUAAGAAAAAUGAAAAUUAUAUUCAUGGCUGAGAUAAAUAAGCCAAUAGCACAAGUGUUAAUGACCCCAAAGCAGUAAAAUAAUAGUAGUUAGUAAAGGACAAAAUCAAGCAGUGCCUUUAAAAGCCCUUGUGACUUCUGAACUUAAACUCACAUCAUCAUUAGCUUCUUUCAUUCAUUCACCUUCUUUGAACAAAUUAAGCUCACAAAACUCAUCUGAAAAACAAAAUGGAAGUUUUGCAAAAUGGCUUUACCAAGUUUGCAAUCACUAAACCUCAUGAGAUAACUGUACCUCUUACUAAUGGAACAAAAAAUCUCUUUGCUAAUGGAACAACAAAUCUCCUUAACUUGAUNNNN